rnacentral:rRNA from 1 species
UCCUGGCUCAGGAUGAACGCUGGCGGCGUGCCUAAUACAUGCAAGUCGAACGAAGCACCUCGGUGCUUAGUGGCGAACGGGUGAGUAACACGUGGGUAACCUGCCCUCAAGACGAGGAUAACCGUUGGAAACGAUGGCUAAGACUGGAUGGGAAUACGGGAGGCAUCUUCUGUAUUUUAAAAGACCUGGCAACAGGUAUGCUUGAGGAGGGGCCUGCGGCGCAUUAGUUAGUUGGUGAGGUGAUGGCUCACCAAGACGAUGAUGCGUAGCCGGACUGAGAGGUUGAACGGCCACAUUGGGACUGAGAGACGGCCCAAACUCCUACGGGAGGCAGCAGUAGGGAAUUUUCGGCAAUGGGGGAAACCCUGACCGAAGCAACGCCGCGUGAACGACGAAGUACUUCGGUAUGUAAAGUUCUUUUAAGAGGGAAGAAUGGCCCGUGGAAAAGCGGGCGUGACGGUACCUUUUGAAUAAGCCCCGGCUAACUAUGUGCCAGCCGCCGC